UGGGGAAUAUUGGGCAAUGGGCGAAAGCCUGACCCAGCCAUGCCGCGUGAGUGAUGAAGGCCUUAGGGUUGUAAAACUCUUUCGCUGGGGAAGAUAAUGACGGUACCCAGUAAAGAAGCCCCGGCUAAUUUCGUGCCAGCAGCCGCGGUAAUACGAAAGGGGCUAGCGUUGUUCGGAAUUACUGGGCGUAAAGCGCGCGUAGGCGGCUAUUCAAGUCAGGGGUGAAAUCCCGGGGCUCAACCCCGGAACUGCCCUUGAAACUAGGUAGCUAGAAUACUGGAGAGGUGAGUGGAAUUCCGAGUGUAGAGGUGAAAUUCGUAGAUAUUCGGAAGAACACCAGUGGCGAAGGCGACUCACUGGACAGUUAUUGACGCUGAGGUGCGAAAGCGUGGGGAGCAAACAGGAUUAGAUACCCCCGUAGUCC
rnacentral:rRNA from 1 species